rnacentral:sRNA from 1 species
CAACCGCCGUUUGCUCCCCUCCCCUCUCGGCUUCCGGACUGGCGGGCCUU